AUUGAACGCUGGCGGCAGGCCUAACACAUGCAAGUCGAACGAGUGGCGGACGGGUGAGUAAUGUCGGGGACACUGCCUGAUGGAGGGGGAUAACUUCUGGAAACGGUAUCUAAUACCGUAUACCCUCAGAUGUGCCUAGAUGGGUAUAGCGUGUGGGUGGGGUAACGGCUCACCAAGGCGACGAUCCCUAGCUGGUCUGAGAGGAUGACCAGCCACACUGGAACUGAGACAUGGUCCAGACUCCUACGGGAGGCAGCAGUGGGGAAUAUUGCACAAUGGGCGCAAGCCUGAUGCAGCCAUGCCGCGUGUAUGAAGAAGGCCUUCGGGUUGUAAAGUACUUUCAGCGGGGAGGCGUUACCCGCAGAAGAAGCACCGGCUAACUCCGUGCCAGCAGCCGCGGUAAUAC
rnacentral:rRNA from 1 species